ensembl:misc_RNA Metazoa_SRP Metazoan signal recognition particle RNA
GCUGGGGGUGGUGGUGUGCACCUGUAAUCCUAGCUACUUGGGAGGCUGAGGUGCAAGAAUUGCUUGAGUCCAGGAGGCGGAGGUUGCAGUGAGCUGAGAUAGCACCACUGUACUCCUGCCUGGACUACAGAGUGAGACUGUGUCUCAA